rnacentral:misc_RNA from 1 species
GAUGAAGAACGUAGCGAAAUGCGAUAAGUAGUGUGAAUUGCAGAAUUCAGUGAAUCAUCGAAUCUUUGAACGCACAUUGCGCCCUUUGGUAUUCCAAAGGGCAUGCCUGUUCGAGCGUCAUUUGUACCCUCAAGCUUUGCUUGGUGUUGGGCGUCUUGUCUCUAGCUUUGCUGGAGACUCGCCUUAAAGUAAUUGGCAGCCGGCCUACUGGUUUCGGAGCGCAGCACAAGUCGCGCUCUCUUCCAGCCAAGGUCAGCAUCCACAAAGCCUUUUUUCAACUUUUGACCUCGGAUCAGGUAGGGAUACCCGCUGAACUUAAGCAUAUCAAUAAGCGGAGGA